AGGUGGGACUGGACUGAGCUGAUAUUCCCGUAAGGAGACAUGAGAUGGAAUAUUCAAUUUUAUAAUUUUCCUAUGGAAAAAUUUUGUAAAGAAAAAGAAAAGAGGCAGAAGCUAAAGCAAACACAGAAAGAAUCCUACCUCUAGAGACCUCAGAACUGUGAAAGCAUCUCUCGAUGGACUGUUCAAUGACCCAGGGUCAACAGAAACCAGUCUACAUGCGGAUGUGCUCUGCAAGCCUUCCUUUUUGUGGACUUGACUUCUACGGGGACGGCGACCCCUGCACUGUUGUUCUGUGGCUGCUAUGUGGCCAUCUACUGGCCCUCACGCUGUGAGGUCAUCAUGAAUCAAGAUGCUUGAAUCCGGAUAAUGGCAGUCAUGGCUCAGUGGGAUGACGUCUGGGUUCCUGCAAGUAGCUGCGGCAUUCCCAUUACCGUUCUGUGGGUCCGAGGGACUUCAUCUUUUUUUUUUCUGUGAUAUUCCACAGCUCUUAAGUAUCUCAGCCCACCAGGUGACAAUCAAGGGGAUUAGAGCCACGGUUUGCAUUACAAGCAUUGCAGUAAUUUUGGCUGUAAUCACCCUCUCACAUGUGCACAUUUUCUCUACUGCUGAGUAGAUUCCAACCAAAGACAGUAGAUGAAGAAGACUUUCCAGGUGCGUUCUGCAUCUAGUAUCAGGUAAUGUUCCCCGUGUAAAACCCGUUUUUCAACCUUAUUCUGGCUGUACUCUACGCAUGCCCACCCUGAAUCCUGUCACUUACAAUCUGAGGAAUAAGGACAUAAAGGCAGUGUGAUUAGAAGCCCACUAGCAAA